rnacentral:pre_miRNA from 1 species
AUCACCUGGGCAUCUUGUUAAAUUGCAGGUUCUGAUUUAGUAAUCCUGGGGUCUGACCUGGGAGUCUGCAUUUUUAACAAAUUCCCAGGUGAUGCCAG